UCGAACUCGUUGGGCGCGUCCUUGAAGAUUCUUAAACCUCCAUCGGCCUUCAGAGUAGUCAACACAGAGGAAGAAACAAGGACGCAAUUGCAGAUGAAGGGCAGCACAUACAACGACGAUAAACAGCUCCUCUAAAAAAAGGAUUGAACCUUUCCCAUGAAUCGGGGAUGAAGUGCAACAGGUAGAGGCACUUGUUUUCCAAUGGAAUCUGGGUCACUUCUUUUCGUGAAAUAAUCGCCACACAGGUGUGAAUACAUAUUUCGUUUUUACUCGACAUAUCUUAUAUAACUAGAUAUAUGUGUAACUAGAUAUUUCUUAAACCAGAUAUGAAAAUCUUUAAGACAUGUUUCUAGAUUAGAAAUUAAUGAAUGUAACUAAAACGCAUGUUGAAAUACUUGUUGUGCAUCUUCUGUGUAAUGUCGAUUCUUUUUCUACUUUAAGAUAUUUACUUGAUAUUUAAAAGUAGAAUGCGUACGAAGUUUCGAUAAAAGGGAUAACAAUGUAUUUGAUGGGAAUAAUAUUGAAUUUUUACGAUAUAUUAUAUUUAAUAAUUCAUAGGAAAAAAUAAAGCUUUAUUCGCUUUGGUUAAUCAGAAUUUAAUUAAUGAUGAAGCAAUAAAAAUAUUAAAUUUAAAAAA